UGAGUAGGCAAGUUGAAUUGAAGUUUCGUUAACUUUGUUAGGAUCAAGCCAGACUAGAUCACACAGAAGACCGUCGCGUCGAUCAGCGUAUAGUAAGUAAUGGUUUGCUGAAUUUCAAGUAAUUAUUCGGUUCCAUGUUUUCAAUUGCUGACUCAGAGGCCACUAUGAACGCUAAAUAAUCUUCUCACACGUCACAUACGACGACCUGAGAAACGAGGUCGUAAGUGUAUCAGAUUUGCCUACAUUCGAUGAGAAAUUUCGUUGACUGGAUUGCUUUCGUCGUUAGUUCGCGAUAUGAAGAAUCUAUUUCGCGUGCUUUGCUUUGAACGGCAUUAAGAGGCAAAUGCAUUCGAUGGAGUAAUUACUGUACGAUUGAUGUAAUCGUUCGAAAAAAAAGGUCGUUAAGUUUGCCAAUUUUGCCAGCGUAUCGUAUUGAUAAGUUCAUCUCAUCCACGAUCAACGAAUACCUAUACAUGUUGCAAUCGAGCUAAUUUGAUUAUACGAGUAUUGUCAUUUUUCGGAUGAGAUAUGUCCGUGAAAAUUAUUACGUUCGUUGAUUUACACGAAAUCGUGAGUUAUUUCAAGGUUCGCGCUUCACGAAGCUGGCAAAAGUAUACCUACUUGGUGGUUAUGGUUGCAACUUGGAAGUGGAAGAGAUUCUCUCGACGUAAACAUGUAUCUAA